rnacentral:rRNA from 1 species
AUUGAACGCUGGCGGCAUGCUUUACACAUGCAAGUCGGACGGCAGCACAGAGAAGCUUGCUUCUUGGGUGGCGAGUGGCGAACGGGUGAGUAAUAUAUCGGAACGUACCGAGUAAUGGGGGAUAACUAAUCGAAAGAUUAGCUAAUACCGCAUAUUCUCUGAGGAGGAAAGCAGGGGACCUUCGGGCCUUGCGUUAUUCGAGCGGCCGAUAUCUGAUUAGCUAGUUGGUGGGGUAAAGGCCUACCAAGGCGACGAUCAGUAGCGGGUCUGAGAGGAUGAUCCGCCACACUGGGACUGAGACACGGCCCAGACUCCUACGGGAGGCAGCAGUGGGGAAUUUUGGACAAUGGGCGCAAGCCUGAUCCAGCCAUGCCGCGUGUCUGAAGAAGGCCUUCGGGUAGUAAAGGACUUUUGUCAGGGAAGAAAAGGCUGUUGCUAAUACCGACAGCUGAUGACGGUACCUGAAGAAUAAGCACCGGCUAACUACGUG